rnacentral:rRNA from 1 species
ACGGAAGGCAGCAGUGGGGAAUAUUGCACAAUGGGGGAAACCCUGAUGCAGCGACGCCGCGUGAAGGAAGAAGUAUCUCGGUAUGUAAACUUCUAUCAGCAGGGAAGAUAGUGACGGUACCUGACUAAGAAGCCCCGGCUAACUACGUGCCAGCAGCCGCGGUAAUACGUAGGGGGCAAGCGUUAUCCGGAUUUACUGGGUGUAAAGGGAGCGUAGACGGUGUGGCAAGUCUGAUGUGAAAGGCAUGGGCUCAACCUGUGGACUGCAUUGGAAACUGUCAUACUUGAGUGCCAGAGGGGUAAGCGGAAUUCCUAGUGUAGCGGUGAAAUGCGUAGAUAUUAGGAGGAACACCAGUGGCGAAGGCGGCUUACUGGACGGUAACUGACGUUGAGGCUCGAAAGCGUGGGGAGCAAACAGGAUUAGAUACCCUGGUA